rnacentral:rRNA from 1 species
CCUACGGGUGGCAGCAGUGGGGAAUAUUGGACAAUGGGCGAAAGCCUGAUCCAGCCAUGCCGCGUGUGUGAAGAAGGCCUUCGGGUUGUAAAGCACUUUCAGUGGGGAAGAAAGCCUUGGGGCUAAUACCCUCGAGGAAGGACAUCACCCACAGAAGAAGCACCGGCUAACUCCGUGCCAGCAGCCGCGGUAAUACGGAGGGUGCGAGCGUUAAUCGGAAUUACUGGGCGUAAAGCGCGCGUAGGCGGUCUGAUAAGCCGGUUGUGAAAGCCCCGGGCUCAACCUGGGAACGGCAUCCGGAACUGUCAGGCUAGAGUGCAGGAGAGGAAGGUAGAAUUCCCGGUGUAGCGGUGAAAUGCGUAGAGAUCGGGAGGAAUACCAGUGGCGAAGGCGGCCUUCUGGACUGACACUGACGCUGAGGUGCGAAAGCGUGGGUAGCAAACAGGCUUAGAUACCCGUGUAGUC